rnacentral:sRNA from 1 species
AAAAAAAAACUUGGUCGAUCGGAACAUCUAGAAUUUCUUAUGACUUGAAUCAUGCUUAGGGAUUUUGGAAGGCAGCAACGCAAUUCAAAAAAAUACGAUUUGUUCAACUUAAGUUUUGAAAAGCUAUUUUCAGCAGAUGAAACCAAAAUCGGAAUCGUCAAUGGUAUUUGAUAAGCGGCUCAUAAGUUUGGAUAACAAUUUCAACUGUUUUAAGAAAAUCUAAUACCCUAAUUGUUUGAUAACAGAUUUUGACACCUUAAUUGUUUAAUAACCUUCGCUUACCCAAAUUUCUCUUGUAACACAUUUAUUAUAUUAAGUAAUGGUUUGGUUUUUAAAUUAAUUAAUUAAGUCCAUGGGGCUAUGUCAAUGAAUUGUGGAAGCCCAAUAUUUACAUUCUAUUAUUAAUAUAUUUGCUUGGGGCAUCAAACAUAUUUAUAUAACUCUGUUAAAGAGUAAAUCUGUAAUAUAUGCCCCAAAAUGUUUUUCCAUAAUUUGAUGCCCCAAGCAAAUGUUUCUUUUUUCAUAAGUGAGGCACGGCCUUAUUGGUUACGUGGUUAAUAUUAUAGAACAAGUCCUUUAAAAUGUAAACAAUAAGGUCUAUUUAUCUUAAUAACAAAAAAGUGUCUAUUUAGUAUUUAUCUUAUCCAACAUUCUACAACAAUAUUGUUACACUAACUAACGCCGUAGCCUCCGGCUCGUUCUUCUUCUUGAAUUUGAACCAAAUGGCCAGAAGGAACAUGAGGGUGGUCAAGAGGGCAGCAGUCAGUUCCAGGAGUUUUGAUAGUACUGUUGGUCCCAAAAGGCUUCCUCUAGUUUCAUUUUUCUUUCUUGUGCUUGGUUAAUUAUUUGUGUUUUCACAAAGCUUUGGUUUUGAUCUUUUAAUCUCUAGGAAUAUAUCUUUGUCUGCUUAUCUAUCUCUUUCCAUCACUACCGGCAAUGUUGACUCUACAAAAAAAAAUAAUUGUGAUAUUUUGAAAAAAACGAAGUUGAUACUUGAGAGUUGAGAUGAAACUGCUUCUUCUUCUGUUUAUUGUUUUGUCAUUUCUUGAUAUGUCCAGUCAAAAGUAAACCAAAACUGAUUAGAAAACCGAAUCAACAAUAAAUCAGUUAUCAAAAAAGAAAGUAAACAACAAGGUCUAUUACUAUUGGAGUUUGAGUCUAUGAUCAAAUCGGCUAAAAGGAAAAGAAAAAACAGUGAGAAGAAAUGAAGAAAAGAAAAGAAGCAAAAGCUAAGCAAAAGCUAAGCAAAAACUAAGCAAAAUGAGAAGAAUUCUUAUGAUUAAUAUAAGCGUUAUAUUGCGUAUUAUUUUUAACUUCGUAUGAUCAAUCCAUAUUUUCUGGAGAUGCAGGGUAAAAUUGUAAAAAAUUAGCGAGUUGAAAGAUUUUUAUGGUUAGGAACUUGACGAACCAAAAUUUUAAGAAAAAAUUCUAAACCCUGAUAUUUCUAGUAUCAGUUGAACCAAAACAAAUAGAUACUAUAUAAUAUGCAAUAGAGUUUUGUCCUAAUUCGUGAGAAAACGUCUAGAGGAAAAAAAAAAACAUAUUUUUAUGUUACAAAAUCUACGCAACGCAAUGGUAAACAAGGAGUGAUAAGUUCACAAGAAAGUCACUCCAAAUUUUUGUAUACAAAAGUGUAGAUUACAAGAUAAUUUAGCAGAAGUCAGAUUUGGUGAUAAAAGUACGAGUCUCCCGGUUUCUUAUCUCCACCAUCGCUAGUUGCUCCUCCAAAUCCAAUGGUAUGGGUCACUCCAGAAACAAGAUUAGUAACCAUGGAGGUUCCCCAAUAGACCCACCCGUUUUCAUCUCCAUGUCGCUCAGCCUCAACGCCAAUCCUCUGUUGCUGCUCUGCCAUGAUAUCACCCCAUCUCUUCCUCAUAAACUCUCUAACAACUUCAGCUCCUUGAGUAGCCACUUCUUGAGAUGGGAUCUCAAGCGGGUUUUGGUCCAAGUUCAGUUUCUCUAGCUUCCUCAGCCUAUAAAAUGAGUCUGGUAUAGCUUGGAUUUGGUUGUUGCUUAGAUCAAGCUCCCUCAGGUUAGUUAGAUCAGUGAUAGUGUCAGGGACACCCAUCAAGUUGUUGAAAUUGCUGCUUAGGUUUAGAACCUCAAGUUUCGUUAGUCUCCCGAUCGAGUUUGGUAUCCCGUGGAUCUCGUUCAUGUGUGCGUCAAGAUACUUUAGAUUAUACAUUUCACUUAUCGAACCUGGAAAGUAACGGAGUUUGUUCAGCUGGAUCGAUAAUCUCUCGAGGUUUUGUAAUCCGUAUCCAAUGUUUGUAGGUAAUGAAGUCAAGUUGUUGUAGCUUGCAUCUAACUCAACUAGUGACCUAAUUUAUGAAAAUCAUUGAAACCUCAGGACAAAAGUAGAAACAAUAUACAGAACAUUUACAAGAAUAGACAAGAACAUGAACCUGCAAUGCGCGAUGCUCUCAGGGAGUGCGGUUAGAUUGUUCGCAUUCACAUUAAGGAUUCUAAGGUUAAGCAACAUCCCUAUAGAGUCAGGAAGAGAUUCCAAAGAAUUUGAAGAUACAUCGAGCUCUUCUAGCUUCUUGAGUUUCGAGAUUGCAUCCGGUAUAAACUGUAAAAUGUUUAA